GGAAAAGUAAAACAACUGAAAGAGAUAAAGAGAAAUUUGUGAGGGAGGAGAAGUGGGAAUUAUGUGGAACUCAGCUGGCAGUAACAGUGAAGACAUUCCCUUGGGCAAAGGAAAAAUAACAUAAGGGGAGAGGAAAAGUGUGAGGAGAUGGAUAAGGGUGGCUGGGUGGUUUCCUUGUUUUAAAGGAGCAGUUAAGAAAUCAUUGAAAGUGAUGCAGUGAAGAGAAUUUGGUAAAGGAGAAGAUAACUGUUGGGGAAAGAGGUUUUUUGAGGCAGAGGAUGUGAGAAGAAUGGACACCUCAAACACUGGAGUGCUGCGAAACCCAGGAAACAUCACAUCCUGAGGAGGCCACAGAGAGAGAGGAUGGAGAUCUGCUCAGUGUUUGAUGUUUACCUAACAUCAGCAGGAGAGAGGAGAAAAUGUCAAGGAGAAUGGCUGUACACUGGCAUAGGCCAUGGAAUUUGACAGAUUCACUAUCCAAAUAAGAACUGAUGGCUACUAAUUUAGGAAAAUCUCACUGAAAUAGAAAACCCUCUAAAUAGAGUUUGUUAACGAGCUUUGUAACUAAUUGGAAAACAACUCCCAGGGAAUCUGCAGCUGUUCACAAACAGCACUGCAGUUCUUCUCCUUCCCCUCUGCAGCAUGACUCCAUGCUCAGACCCUGUUUCCAAGACUUUCCCCUUCCUCACCUCAUUUCUUAAGAACUUUGGUUAAAAACCACAUACCUGUAAAACAAACCUGUCACAGUUAAGUCAUCUAAAGGAAUGAUAAUUAACACUAGGUACUAGGCACUUUUAAUGCUGGGUUGAAUGUGACACUGGCCAAGUUGCAAGAUGGAGUUUCUGUUCCUCAGAGAGUGAUGACCAUUCACAGUUGUGCAAGUAGAUGGAUGAACACUGGAAUUGUUUCAGCAGUGUCCUCUGGAUUUGCCAGGUGUCACCUGAAAUUCCUCAUCUCCAAACUGGGAUUUUAAGAAUGCCAGCUCCAAAAUGGCACAACCAGGAAGGUCCCUUUGCUAAUGGACACAACAGAGAGAACACAGGAGAGGGCAGAGAAGGGAAGAGUUAAAAGCAGCUCUUC